rnacentral:lncRNA from 1 species
GUGGUUUAAGUUUUGAGUCUUUUACGAGUAAGUUUCUACAUGCUUCAAGUAUUUAAUUUCAUUCUUGUAUAAUUGUAAAUUCCAUGCACAUCCAUAUUUCAUGUAGUAUAAAGGAAGAGACAUCGUACAUGAAACAUCCAACUAAAACGGUCUUCUCUCUAUUCGAACAUCAGUUUUCAAAGAUAAUGGUUUGAUAAUUGGUCACCCUUUGAAAACCUAUACAAGUUUCUGAACGCCAGCACUUCGCGUCUUGGUAUCCCAAAGACAGCAACUGUGGCAUCACGCUUCUCCGCGGGGAGUUGGCAUCUACCUGCAGCAAAAACUGAGAACCAAUUAGCACUACAGGUUCACGGUGGAGUUAUCAGAAGUGGAAGAUGGUUAUGAAUGGGUGGUUGAUGGAAGACUGGAACAAAGGUACAAAACAGGCGUGAUAUACACUUAUCUUAAAGGUUCCCAGCCGACGGUUCCUUGGGCUAAGAUCGUUUGGAUCUCUUACAGCAUCCCGCGGCACAACUUCCUUACUUGGUUGGUCCUACAAGAGACAUGUUAAAUGGAUGGGGUCUUAAUGUUGAUCCCUUAUGUUUACUCUGCGAUACUGCUCAGAAGAGUAGAAAUCACCUCUUCUUUGAGUUCUCACCUCUUGGGAUGAUAUUGUCGCUCAACUUCAGGACUUGCGAACCAAUCGUGACUCUCUCCGCCUCCCGCUUCUAGCAACUCAGGCUGUAAUCUACUGGCUUUGGACAGAGCGAAACUCAAGACUCCAUCGACAGACCUUCAAACCGCCGGAAGCAAUCAUAUCUCUGAUUGAUAAGCAGAUCCGUAAUCGCCUACAGAGCAUCCGACAUGCAAACCCAAGAGCAGUCAGCGAUGUCACAGCUCUGGUUCCUUAGAUCAUGAUCUCAGGCGGUUCGACCAAAGGAAUCCACAGACUCGUUCUUUCUACAAACUUCCCCUUCCAAAAGUUCAACUCAAGGACCUUUC